UACGUAGGGUGCAAGCGUUGUCCGGAUUUAUUGGGCGUAAAGAGCUCGUAGGCGGUCUGUCGCGUCGGAUGUGAAAACCCAGGGCUCAACCCUGGGCCUGCAUUCGAUACGGGCAGACUAGAGUACGGCAGGGGAGACUGGAAUUCCUGGUGUAGCGGUGAAAUGCGCAGAUAUCAGGAGGAACACCGGUGGCGAAGGCGGGUCUCUGGGCCGUAACUGACGCUGAGGAGCGAAGGCGUGGGGAGCGAACAGG
rnacentral:rRNA from 1 species